GCCUGGUGUCCAGCUACUUCCCCGAGCCUGUGACUGUGUCCUGGAACUCCGGCUCCUUGACCAGUGGUGUGCACACCUUCCCGUCCGUCCUGCAGUCCUCAGGGCUCUACUCUCUCAGCAGCAUGGUGACAGUGCCCUCCAGCAGGUGGCCCAGUGACACCUUCACCUGCACUGUGGCCCACCCGGCCAGUAAGACCAAGGUGGACAAGAAAGUAAUGCCCAAACCAAAUGGCGUUGGCCCCUGUAAGGAAUGUCCCAAAUGUCCAGUCCCUGACACGUUGGGAGGACCUUCGGUCUUCAUCUUCCCCCCAAAACCCAAGGACAUCCUCAAAAUUGGUGGAAUCCCCGAGGUCACAUGUUUUGUGGUGGACCUGGGCCAUGAAGACCCUGAAAUCCAGGUCACCUGGUUCGUGGAUGACCAGGAGGUGCACACAGCCAAGACAAAGCUGCAUGAGGAGCAGUUCAACAGCACCUACCGUGUGGUCAGUGUCCUCCCCAUCCUGCACCAGGACUGGCUCGCAGGAAAGAAGUUCAAGUGCAAGGUCAACAGCAAAGCCCUCCCAUCCUCCAUCCAGAGGACCAUCUCCAAGGCCAGAGGGCAGGCCCAUCAGCCCAAUGUGUACGUCCUGCCCCCAUCCCGGGAUGAGAUGAACAAGAACACAGUCAGCGUGACCUGCCUGGUCAAAGACUUCUACCCAUCUGAGGUUGAUGUCGAGUGGCAGAGCAAUGGCCAGCAGAUGCCAGAAAGCAGUAUCCGAACAACCCCACCCCAGCUGGAUGCAGAUGGGACCUACUUCCUCUACAGCAAGCUCUCAGUGGACAAGAACCAAUGGCAGCGCGGAGAGGUUGUCACGUGUGUGGUCAUGCAUGAAGCUCUACACAACCACCACACACAGCAACCCAUCUCCCAGUCUCCGGAGCUGCUCCUGGACGACAGCUGUGCCGAGGACCAGGAUGGGGAGCUGGACGGGCUGUGGACCACCAUCUCCAUCUUCAUCACCCUCUUCCUGCUCAGCGUGUGCUACAGCGCCACUGUGACCCUCUUCAAGGUGAAGUGGAUCUUCUCCUCGGUGGUGGAGCUGAAGCGCACGAUCGUGCCCGACUAUAGGAACAUGAUCGGGCAGGGGGCCUAG